GUCUACGGCCAUGCUACUCUUAACAAGCCAGAUCCUGUAUGAUCUCAGAAGCAUCUCGGAAGCUAAGCAGGGUCGGGCCUCGUUAGUACUUGGAUGGAAGACCACCUAGGAAUAUCAGGUGCUGUAGGUG
ensembl:rRNA 5S_rRNA 5S ribosomal RNA